GUGGGGAAUCUUGCGCAAUGGGCGAAAGCCUGACGCAGCCAUGCCGCGUGGAUGAUGAAGGUCUUAGGAUUGUAAAAUCCUUUCACCGGUGAAGAUAAUGACUGUAGCCGGAGAAGAAGCCCCGGCUAACUUCGUGCCAGCAGCCGCGGUAAUACGAAGGGGGCUAGCGUUGCUCGGAUUUACUGGGCGUAAAGGGCGCGUAGGCGGACAUUUAAGUCAGGGGUGAAAUCCCGGGGCUCAACCUCGGAACUGCCUUUGAUACUGGGUGUCUUGAGUGUGAGAGAGGUGUGUGGAACUCCGGGUGUAGAGGUGAAAUUCGUAGAUAUUCGGAAGAACACCAGUGGCGAAGGCGACACACUGGCUCAUUACUGACGCUGAGGCGCGAAAGCGUGGGGAGCAAACAGGAUUAGAUACCCGGGUAGUCC
rnacentral:rRNA from 1 species